AAGGGGGCAACUCCUUCCAGUCGAGUGGCGGACGGGUGAGUAACACGUGGGUAACCUGCCCGGAAGUGGGGAAUACCUCGGGGAAACUCGAGCUAAUACCGCAUGACAUCUUCGGGACGAAAGUCCUGACGAUCAAAGCGGGGUCGCAAGAUCUCGCGCUACCGGAUGGGCCCGCGCCCGAUUAGCUAGUUGGUGAGGUAACGGCUCACCAAGGCUUCGAUCGGUAACCGGCCUGAGAGGGCGAUCGGUCACACCGGAACUGAGACACGGUCCGGACUCCUACGGGAGGCAGCAGUGGGGAAUCUUGCGCAAUGGGCGAAAGCCUGACGCAGCAACGCCGCGUGGAGGAUGAAGGCCCUUGGG
rnacentral:rRNA from 1 species